rnacentral:rRNA from 1 species
UACGUAGGGUGCAAGCGUUAAUCGGAAUUACUGGGCGUAAAGCGUGCGCAGGCGGUUCGGAAAGAGAGGUGUGAAAUCCCAGGGCUUAACCUUGGAACUGCACUUCUAACUACCGGGCUAGAGUACGUCAGAGGGGGGUAGAAUUCCACGUGUAGCAGUGAAAUGCGUAGAGAUGUGGAGGAAUACCGAUGGCGAAGGCAGCCCCCUGGGAUGAUACUGACGCUGAGACGCGAAAGCGUGGGGAGCGAACAGG